UGAACUACACAACUCGAAAGUGGGCUUCACCAUGUCCAUGACACUUAUGUCUAAAAUUUCGGCAGUGCAACUUCCUCGAGUGAGAGCCAAGAAACUAAAGGGUGUUCAUGGCAAAGCUGAGGCAGGAUGCCAAUUCGUUUGUUUCACAAAUGGCCUGUGGUUGUCUAAAACAACUACAGCCUCAUCCAUAUAACAUGCUAUUGCCUGACAUAAAAUUUUGAAAUGAAGGUAACCACUCCAGUACUCCAAUAAGUGUAUGCUCACCUGAAAAGCAGGAAGCACUCUGAUGUAAAAUUAAAGAGUAGGGGCUUUAAACAGAAGAAUUGCAUGUCUCUCUUGUGACAGUUAAUGCCAGAAAAAUUACACUAAAGCCAUGGGCCACAAAAUGGAAACUUUUAGUGCGAAAGUCUUGUAGUGUAAAUUUAGCACGAAUAUUCGAUAUUCCGUUUGGUAUUCAGAAUUUUUUCCCCAUUCAAUUCGACAUUCCAUUCGACUUAAAAUAUUCGGAUUCACACACCCCUACUAAUUACACAAGAUACGCCCGCUGUCAUACAGAUGGUGCUUAACAGAUCACUAUACAUGCCAUCCUAAUUUUAAUCUUGCAGCCUCCCAGCUUCAGCUUCUCUGUGUCAGCCGCAUAGUCCUCGUCCCAGGGCGUUAGCGCCCUCAUGCUCCUCUCUGGGUUUGUUUGCCGUGGCUGGCCCGUCCACAGACUACGAGCUCCAUCUCCUCCAUGACAUCUCCUGGAUCCUGGUUCCAGGGUGUCCGAUGCUCUCAAGCUCCUCCCUCGGCCCUUUCUCUUGGCAGGCCCCCUCCACAGGACAGCUUCUAAGGCCUUCUGGGUCGCACCUCUUCCUCGCGGCAGCUUUCGAAUAAUAUCUUCUCUAGCCUUUUUCUUCCCAUGCAACUUUCAGAUUGGUAAGCUGUAUGUGUUUUUCUAAUCUUAAUUGUAGCCUCUGAGCACCAGCUGCUGAUGUCCCUUCAGUACUGCCUCCAGGCAGUAUGAAGCCUUCAGGCUCCUGCGUGGGACAGUGUCCUGUGUCUGGCCAUUCUAGAAGUGAGCCUCUAAGGCCUCCUGCGUCGCACCUGUUCCUCAGGGCUGCGUUCAGAUGCUAUCUCCCCUAGCCUCUUUCCUGUUACGCUACUUUCACCUUGGGGAGCUGUAUGUGUCUGUAUGUGUUAUCCCAAUCUUAAUCUUGCGGCCUCUGAGCUCCAUCUCCUCUGUGAUGGCCCACAGUCCUGGGUCCAGGUCAUCAGACGCCCUCAGGCUUCUUCCUAGGUGUGUUUCUAGUGGCUGGACGCUCUGCAGGUCAGCUUCUAGGGCCUCACCUCUUCCUCACGGCUAUGUCAGAAUGCUAUCUCCCAUGUCCUCUUUCUUGUCUUGCAACUUUCACCUUGGAGAGCUGUACAUGUUGUCAUUCUGGGCUCUCGAAAGAACAGUCUACCUUGUCUGACAACCAGAACACCUUUGUGUUAAAAGUUAUUGUUUCAGAAGGCGAAACCAAGGGGUGGAGAACCACCCAGAAGCCCCGGCAGUAACUGAUAUCUGUUGUGGGUCGAUAUCAAAGUGGGUCGAGCUCUAUCCUGAGCUGAAGUUGGUGUCAGUUCUGACCUGGGACCGACUGCUGGAUGGCUUUCCUCGGUUUGGAUUCCCGAACCAGCUUAUCACGGAUAACGCCUUGUACUCUGCAUGUAAGGCGUUCAUCGAUACCUGCCCAGGAGUGAGUAUCUGACAUAAGCCAGGCACCCCCUCUAUCACCCGCAUGUAAACAUAUAUGUGACGUAACACGCUACAUAACACAUACUACCUCAGUACUACCUGUGUAACACACUCCCUCAGUUAUAACUGAGGUAGGUGUCAAUGUUUUUUAGUUGUGGAUUCAAUACAUAUGUAUGGACAUUAUUUAAAUGAUCUUGGAAAGACUAACACCAUCAGACGACCCUCAAUGACCCUGUCUCCGUUAACAAUUCUCGGAAUUGCAGAAAAAGCAUUGUGUCUUGAUACCAUAGCUGAUCUCCCACUGCGCUGCACUGUUCAUUAUGCACAUUUUCACGACCCUGUAUGAAGGACACACGAUUUCCAUGCUCAUAAAGUAUUUUCCAUAAUCACACGUUAAGUGUUCAUGAGUACUCACAGCAGUUUAGGUUUUUACUGUAACAAAAUGUACCACAGCUCUUACCUCACAGUCGGACAUGAUAGGAAAUAGUACACUCAUGUUUGAAUGCUGCGUCUUGACACAGAAGUGAACAUUACUGCAUUAACCAUUGCCUGUGGUGCCAAAGUAUCACACCAAAUUACCCCAACCCUUGAGUUCCUCCUGGUGCUAUUUCUUUUGAGGAACAAAAAUGGGGAAACUUGCUUAUUAGAUGACCCUCAUUAUUUUAUUCCACUUUCUCCCUUUGCCUACAUAUUUCAGUUUCCUUAUGGUGACUCUAGUGGAUACCUUAUUGAACAUGGAAGACUUGAGUAAUACCUUUAUGCAAUACUAUUUCAUAGUCUGCCGUCAUUUAAUUCAGUUUCCUGCAGGUAUUUGGUGCAAUUGAACUUCAGGCCAUCUACACAACGCCUAAAAUUAGACGUCUAUUUUCAGAAGUCUGCCAGGCGUCUUGUUGAUCCCUAAAGUCUUAGGUUGGAACAGAUUGGGAUGGCUAUCAUGUGCUGCCAGUGUGGCUACUGCAGAACACAACGCUUGUAAUCGGGUGCUACAAACAACAGGAAGUACUACGGCGACACCACAUGACGACCUGAAACUGCAUCGCAGUUAAGGGAGUUCCUUAAAAGUAACAACUUUCAGAGGCGGGCGUUGCAGCUGACGUUUUCCGACAUCAUAAAAUGAAAACAACAUGUGCCGCGUGCGAGAGCCGCGGCUUUCACAACGAAGAUUGCUGAUAGAGUAGUGCUCGACUUGCAUCCAUUCAGCAUUGUUGAAGACGAAGGAUUCCAGGGCCUUAUGAAAGAUGCUGCUCCAGGCUAUGAAUUGCCAUCCAGGACGUUGUUCAAGAAGGGUCGUGCAGUGCCUCUACCAUGACACAAGAGAGCAAGUCGAGGGCGAGUUGAAGAAGGCAUGUGAUGAUGAGACCAGCGCAGUAGCAUUUACGGCCGACAUGUCGACGUUGCGAGCAACCGCAGUUUUCUCCAUGCCAUUGGAAUGGAAGCGCAGCUAGCGUGUGCCAACACCCAUACAUGGGAGGAGGGAGCUGGAGCCAUGGUUUCGUUGCUGUUGACCUUUACACUCACUUUGAAGAACUUUGAUGCAUAUGUAAUCCUCACCUUAUCACCCUUCUACUCAAGCUGUUAAGAUAAUUCUUCGGUACACCAGAACCAUGUGAAUGCCUGCUUCUCCCCAGUGGUACACCUUCUGCUGUGGUUAUUUAUGAAGUUGUUUGCUGGUCAGAAUGCAGUGGUUCUGUGUUGAAGGUGCCCUGGUCAGUGCUAUAUUCCGCCUCCUGCCACCACUGCUAAGAGAGAAGACAGAUGGAUACAUCAAGAAGUUGGUAACCUACUUCAACUGAGUCCAGUACAUGACAAUCGCUACAAGGAGAUGGGCUUCGGGUUCGAUGACCACAUAAGCCGGGAGAGGACCAUGUGUAUCCUACCAUCAUC